rnacentral:rRNA from 1 species
CCAUUACCGAGUUUACAACUCCCAAACCCAAUGUGAACGUUACCAAACUGUUGCCU